GGGCCGUCCUCGCAUUGUGUUUGGCAAGACCUACACUGCAGAGCGAUGUUCCUGUUUCUAACUGAACGUCUCCAGUGGCUGUGGACAGUCAGCAUCACCAAACAUCCCUUUACCAGUAAGACGCUGCCUUUUCACAGGAAGAACUGGGAAGAGGUCCUGGCACCAUCUCCUAGUGCCCCCCAUCCUAACGGGUUCCUCUGACUUGUCCUUUUCACUGGACACUCUAGUGCUUCCUGGCGUCAAUCACAUCAAACAAUCACAGAGAACAAAUCCCAAACACUGUUCAACUCCCACUUUGUAAAAACCAGAGGAAUCCAAUGCCUGGCCAGUUUGGUUCAGUGGAUAGAGCUCUCGGACUAAGGGUCCCGGGUUUGAUUCCAGUCAAGGGCAUGUACCUUGGUUGCAGACUGGAUCACCAGACCCUGGUCAGGGGUGCAUGUGGGAGGCACCAAUCCAUGUAUCUCUCUCACAUUGAUGUUUCUCUCUGUCUCUCCCCCUCCCAUUCACUCUCUCUAAAAACACCCUCGGGUGAGGAUGAACAAACAACAAGCAAUGACAGGAAUCUCAGACACCAGGAAGGUGCCGUCACCAGCCCAGGAAGCAUCCACCUGCCUCCGUGCGAACAGAACCUGGAGGAGAGCCCUGCAGCCCUGCCGGCUCUCAGUCACCUCGAGCCGAUGUCUAAGGCUGACAGGAAACGGUGAACAUGCACGGGAGAAACCCUCUCGGAGAAGAACAUCAUUUCACAGGCUUGGGCUUCUGGCCCGGACAGAGGAACAGGACCCAGAUCAGCCUCCGCUGUAAAUGUCAGAGACGUGGAUGGAGCAGAGGAAACCAUUUCCGAGGCUGGAAAACGGAGGUCCGGGAAGAGGGAACACCCAGCUCAGCGAGAGCAGCGCCAGCUCCGGGGGGAGGAAGAGUGGAGGGUCCAGUGAGAGCAGAAAGGGUCCCCGCCCUUCACCUGAAGCUCAGGGACACGUUACCACACAGAACGUCUGAACAUCCAGUCCUCACUGUCAGCGGUCAUGGCGGGGGUCACGUCCUGCCUGCAGCUUCCCUGACAAAGGUCAGCCUUCACCUCAAGUGAGCCUAUGGCCUUUGCACCUGCGAUAACAAACCUCGGGACGUCAGCGGAUCUCCCGUUACAGAGCCCGCGGGGCUGCCCGGAGCAUGAGACUGAAGAA